rnacentral:rRNA from 1 species
UACGAAGGGGGCUAGCGUUGCUCGGAAUUACUGGGCGUAAAGCGCACGUAGGCGGUCUUUUAAGUCGGGGGUGAAAUCCUGGAGCUCAACUCCAGAACUGCCUUCGAUACUGGAAGACUUGAGUCCGGGAGAGGUGAGUGGAACUGCGAGUGUAGAGGUGAAAUUCGUAGAUAUUCGCAAGAACACCAGUGGCGAAGGCGGCCGACUGGUCCGGUUCUGACGCUGAGGCGCGAAAGCGUGGGGAGCAAACAGG